rnacentral:tRNA from 1 species
GGAGGGAUGCCAGAGUCUGGUUUAUCGGGCCUGUCUCGAAAACAGGUGUGGUUUUUUGCCACCGGGAGUUCGAAUCUCCCUCCCUCCGCCC